CCACCAGGCUAUAAAGGAGGCCUCUAUCCCCAGGCCUACAGGCAGUCCAUUCCAUUCGGUCGAGUCAGCGGCAGUUCAGAGGCCAAGGCUCCAUCGAGAGGCCAUAAAACUGUGAUUUAUCUGCGAAUCAAGAACUAAAACUAAACUUGGAACAUCCGCAUCACAGGCCGCGAAUAAUGAACUCAGGCGGCAGUCACGGCCGGCGGCGGUCAAGGAUGGUGGAAAUUAUGGAGUCAUCGGAGGCCGCCCCCCCCCCAAAGAUCUGUGUGCUAGGGGGAGGAGGGGCAAACAACACUUACCAUCAGGAGGUAAAUAAUCUUGGCAUAGACCGUAAGCUGUGGUAACCUGCAAAAGGAAUAGAAAGAUAACAGAUUAAAGAACAUUCAAGACAUCAAA